UGGGGAAUAUUGGGCAAUGGGCGCAAGCCUGACCCAGCCACGCCGCGUGAGUGAUGAAGGCCUUCGGGUCGUAAAGCUCUGUGGGGAAGGACGAAAAAACAUUGGCUAAUAUCCAAUGGCUUGACGGUACUUCCUUAGCAAGCACCGGCUAACUCUGUGCCAGCAGCCGCGGUAAUACAGAGGGUGCAAACGUUGCUCGGAAUCAUCGGGCGUAAAGCGCACGUAGGCGGCCUGAUAAGUCGGUAGUGAAAGCCCUCGGCUUAACCGAGGAAGUGCUAUCGAAACUGCCAGGCUUGAGUACCGGAGAGGAUCGCGGAAUUCCCGGUGUAGAGGUGAAAUUCGUAGAUAUCGGGAGGAACACCAGUGGCGAAGGCGGCGAUCUGGACGGAUACUGACGCUGAGGUGCGAAAGCGUGGGGAGCAAACAGGAUUAGAUACCCAAGUAGUCCCUGAGCGGGCUGGCAAGGCGCAU
rnacentral:rRNA from 1 species